rnacentral:tRNA from 1 species
AAAUAAGAAGCAUAAAAUAUGUGAUCAGUUUCGGCCUGAUUAAAAAAUCUUUGAUUUCUUAUUUA